CUUCUUAUCUACCAUUUAGGAAAUAAGGACUCAGUAAACAUGAAGUUCUUCAUCUUUACUUGCCUUUUGGCCAUUGCUCUUGCAAAGCAUCAUAUGGAUCAUCACUCCUCCAGAGAGGAGGACAUUUGUUCUUCUUCCUGUAAGGAAACCACAAGA